AUAAAUACAGCCCCCGCGCUUCGUCACAUCCUCUUUCGUUGCUCUUCUCGCGCUGAGAAUCCUCUCCACACGAUGAGAGCCAAGUGGAGGAAGAAGCGUAUGCGCAGGCUGAAGCGUAAAAGGAGAAAGAUGAGGCAGAGGUCAAAGUAAGCCCUCAUCCUCCGCCGCUGUGGUUCCUGUCUGAGCCUCUCCUGACGAUGGACACGCACUGCUGGGGUGAACCGUGUUAGUCUUUCACCUGAAGUUAAGGCCCUGACUCUUGAUUUCCGAUGACUGCGCUUCUCGAGGACCCAGCUGUGGAUGGCCGGUCAGAAGAUGGCUGAAACCUUGGACAGUGUUGCCAACGUGACCACAGCUUUGUUCAUGGACCAUAAAACAUCUUGUUCGCCUACAAUUGUCAUGUGGUAUAUUGAACAAUAAACCAUGUAAAAGUUUGUACAAGU